rnacentral:tRNA from 1 species
CGGGUGUAGUUUAGUGGUAGAACAUCAGCUUCCCAAGCUGAUUGUGUGAGUUCGAUUCUCAUCAUCCG